UUCUUGUGCCCCAAAAGAAAAGACAGAAAGCUCCUAAAAUGAGCAAAUAAGCUGUGCAUCAUCUCUGGUGUUUGGGAAGGAAAUGACUGAAUAUGAUGAAGCCAAUUGAUGAAGAUAUCAAUUGAAUGGCCACCGAGUGCAUCACUGCUACCUGAACCCAUCAGUUAUCUGCUGUGAAGACUGCAUUCACAAACCGCUCUACUGCGACAGCUCAGAUGUUACGGCCUGUAAAAGUAAACAUCACAGCUAAACAACGAGAGCUAGUUGUGGUGGGAUUCUUUUGGCCAAUAUCCCCAACAAGAAUCAAUGACAUCUAGACCAGGUGGAGUGUGAGGAGGACCGUCAGAGACUCCAGCCAGCCGAG